GGCUCUGUUCUUUCAGUUCCAUGAGAGCUUUACCAGUGCUUUGGAAUUUCAGGGACUCUGUGUUUGCUUCCAUGUGGGCCAUCCAACAUUGGGCGCUGUCACCCUGUUAUCUCCCAAACGUUGGAUCCACAAGACUGCACCCACCAGCCUGGGACCUUCCUGCAUCCUGCUUCAACUUUCUGUUUCAUCAGUCUGCAGAUAAAAGGGUCUGAAGAGGGCUCUGGCUAACAUCAGACCCACGGACUUGCUGGACUGGGCUGGGAUGCUUUCUUGAUACAAAAUUAUUUCUUUAUAUAAAGUUCUUUCUUAUGCA